rnacentral:miRNA from 1 species
AAGCUUGGAUUGUGAUCUCA